CUGAUGUUGGGAUAUGUGUAGGAGUAUGCAGGUGAUGGCUUGCGGACACUUGCAGUGGCCUAUCGGGAUCUGUCUGAGGAGCAGUGGGAGGCGUGGGCAGAGCGUUUCCGCGGCGCUGAUAAGGCCACAGACUGCAGAGACGACCGGCUGGCUGCAGCCUAUGAAGAGAUCGAACAGGACAUGAUGGUGUGUCUGUGUGUCUGAUUCCUUUUGUUUUGUCUCCUUAGUCUUCUUGUUAAUAAUAUGAAAUAUUUUAUACUUGUUAUAGCUGUUGGGGGCCACAGCUAUAGAAGAUAAAUUGCAAGAGGGGGUUCCUGAGACCAUUGCCAUUCUCUCACUGGCUAACAUCAAGAUCUGGGUGCUUACUGGAGACAAACAGGGUAAGAACUGCAUCAAAAUCAAAAGUCAUGCUGCUUGGCCACAACUGUUAUCAUUGACUUAACACAACUACAACUUUAAAGUGUAUUUUUCUCCUUCUGUGACAGAGACUGCAGUGAAUAUUGGUUAUUCCUGUAAGAUGCUGACAGAUAACAUGACAGAGAUCUUCAUUGUUAAUGGACACACUGUCCAAAGCGUACGUGAAGAGCUGAGGAAAGCAAGAGAGCGAAUGCUGGAGUCGGCACGCACCAGAGAUGGAGGGAAGGAAGUUGAAGCUCAGGGAUGGGGUGGUGCUUGUGCCUUUGGAAAUGGAUGUGGAGGUGGUGGUGCUGCUAACUGGAUCCCUGAUGAGAGUAAAUGUUCGCCUCCUCAGGCGCCGCCCUCCUCCUCAUUGGAGUCAAUCAGUGGAGAGUUCGCCCUCAUCAUCAGCGGACACAGCUUGGUAGGUGGGAGAAGCAUUCAGGAGCCUAACUGGAAGGAAUU
rnacentral:lncRNA from 1 species